rnacentral:rRNA from 1 species
UACGUAGGGGGCUAGCGUUGUCCGGAGUUACUGGGCGUAAAGCGCACGCAGGCGGUCUGCUAAGUUUGGAGUGACAGUUGGUGGCUUAACUGCCAAAGUGCUUCGAAAACUGACAGACUUGAGGGCUUCAGAGGGACACGGAAUUCCGGGUGGAGUGGUGAAAUGCGGUAGAGAUCCGGAGGAACACCAAAGGCGAAGGCAG